GCGCUGAAGCCAGUCGAAGAUACCAGCUGGCUGCAACUGUUUAUUAAAAACACAGCACUGUGCAAACACGAAAGUGGACGUAUACGGUGUGACGCCUGCCCGGUGCUGGAAGGUUAAUUGAUGGGGUUAGCGUAAGCGAAGCUCCUGAUCGAAGCCCCAGUAAACGGCGGCCGUAACUAUAACGGUCCUAAGGUAGCGAAAUUCCUUGUCGGGUAAGUUCCGACCUGCACGAAUGGCGUAAUGAUGGCCAGGCUGUCUCCAC
rnacentral:rRNA from 1 species